UACGUAGGGUGCAAGCGUUAAUCGGAAUUACUGGGCGUAAAGCGUGCGCAGGCGGUUUCGUAAGUCUGUCGUGAAAUCCCCGGGCUCAACCUGGGAAUGGCGAUGGAGACUGCGAGGCUAGAGUUUGGCAGAGGGGGGGUAGAAUUCCACGUGUAGCAGUGAAAUGCGUAGAGAUGUGGAGGAACACCGAUGGCGAAGGCAGCCCCCCUGGGUCAAAACUGACGCUCAUGCACGAAAGCGUGGGGAGCAAACAGG
rnacentral:rRNA from 1 species